rnacentral:lncRNA from 1 species
UUGAUACUGUGCUGUCAGCUGUUUAAAUCCGAUUAGCACAAGUGUUUCUUCCUCUUUCCAGUGAUUUGCCAUGUUCAUAAUGUGAUGCCAGCUAAUGACAGGGGAAGAGGCUAAACCAAGUUAUUUUCCCAUCGACUAAAUGGCAACUCGCAUUGCUCUUAAAAACGGUGAGCAGAAAAGGAAAUGUCCUUCAAGGAAACUGCUGGAUUAAGUUAACUACUUCUGACUGCUAAGAGCAGGAUAAAUGGGGAAAACAAAGGGAUUCGGACACUCGCACCCUCCUGAAAGCGGGAGAAUGAAUUGUUGUCGGUGAGACCGCUGCUAGUGCUGGCGAGGGAUAAUUGGAGCUCAAAGGUGGGUGAGGACGUGUGGCUUAAGGCAAGCUGUUCUUCCACUGCAGGACCACUGGAGGCCCAUUAAUCUUCCAGAUUUCUUGUUAGCACUGUCUGCCUUUAUAGUCAAGCUUGCGACUGGAAGCAUCCCUGGGGAUGCGUUCUGCAUGAUUCCCCUGACCGCUUGCAGGCCACGUCAUGCCCCAGAAGGUUGUUUUGGGAAUUGCUCUGCUGUCUCUCGGAGAGGUUUUUCAAUGUUGCCAUGACGUCCUCCUCCUGAAAUGCUGGAGCAGCCCAGGAUCUGCGGCGAGGGCAGCGCUGCCUUGUCGAAGCGACACGCAGACGCCAAGUUUUCUGUGUGUACAGUAUGGUAAGGACUGAAGAGAAGAUGCACAAAUGGAAUGGCUUUGCUUAAAGAAAUGUCUGAGGAAGAGCUGCUGAUGGCUUGCGCUUUUCCUAAAAUAUUUUUCUUUGUAUGGACAACAGCCUCCCCGGAGCCCAAGGUAGCUGCUCUUCAAUAUGCAAUAUCACUAUUGCCACGGAAUAACAUUCCAGCAUGGCAAUGAUAUGGUUCAACUAGUAGUAAUAAUAAUAUAAUCGUUGUUUGCACAGAUGAAAGCAGUAAAUGAUGUGAAAUGGAAAG